rnacentral:rRNA from 1 species
AGUUUAGCAAUAGACUUUGAGAGUGGCGCACGGGUGCGUAACACGUAUGCAACCUACCCGAUACAGGGGGAUAGCCUCUCGAAAGAGAGAUUAAUACCCCAUAACAUAGAGUAUAGGCAUCUAUAUUUUAUCAAAGUUCCGACGGUAUCGGAUGGGCAUGCGGUUGAUUAGCUAGUUGGUGAGGUAACGGCUCACCAAGGCGACGAUCAAUAGGGGGUCUGAGAGGAUGUCCCCCCACACUGGUACUGAGACACGGACCAGACUCCUACGGGAGGCAGCAGUAGGGAAUAUUGGUCAAUGGGGGCAACCCUGAACCAGCCAUGCCGCGUGCAGGAAGACUGCCCUAUGGGUUGUAAACUGCUUUUGUACGGGAAGAAAUGUCACUAUGCGUAGUGAUUUGACGGUACCGUAAGAAUAAGGAUCGGCUAACUUCGUGCCAGCAGCCGCGGUAAGACGAAGGAUCCAAGCGUUGUCCGGAUUUACUGGGUUUAAAGGGAGCGUAGGCGGAUACAUAAGUCAGUGGUGAAAGCCUUCAGCUUAACUGAAGAACUGCCAUUGAAACUGUGUGUCUCGAGUACGGCUGAGGUGACUGGAAUGUAACAUGUAGCGGUGAAAUGCUUAGAUAUGUUACAGAACACCAAUUGCGAAGGCAGGUCACUAAACCGUAACUGACGCUGAGGCUCGAAAGCGUGGGGAGCAAACAGGAUUAGAUACCCUGGUAGUCCACGCCCUAAACGUUGAAUACUCGGUCUUGGCGAUACACAGUC